rnacentral:rRNA from 1 species
UAGGGAAUCUUCGGCAAUGGACGGAAGUCUGACCGAGCAACGCCGCGUGAGUGAAGAAGGUUUUCGGAUCGUAAAGCUCUGUUGUAAGAGAAGAACGAGUGUGAGAGUGGAAAGUUCACACUGUGACGGUAUCUUACCAGAAAGGGACGGCUAACUACGUGCCAGCAGCCGCGGUAAUACGUAGGUCCCGAGCGUUGUCCGGAUUUAUUGGGCGUAAAGCGAGCGCAGGCGGUUAGAUAAGUCUGAAGUUAAAGGCUGUGGCUUAACCAUAGUACGCUUUGGAAACUGUUUAACUUGAGUGCAAGAGGGGAGAGUGGAAUUCCAUGUGUAGCGGUGAAAUGCGUAGAUAUAUGGAGGAACACCGGUGGCGAAAGCGGCUCUCUGGCUUGUAACUGACGCUGAGGCUCGAAAGCGUGGGGAGCAAACAGGAUUAGAUACCCUGGUAGUCCACGCCGUAAACGAUGAGUGCUAGGUGUUAGACCCUUUCCGGGGUUUAGUGCCGCAGCUAACGCAUUAAGCACUCCGCCUGGGGAGUACGACCGCAAGGUUGAAACUCAAAGGAAUUGACGGGGGCCCGCACAAG